UACGGGGGGGCAAGCGUUGUUCGGAAUUACUGGGCGUAAAGGGCUCGUAGGCGGCCAACUAAGUCGGAUGUGAAAUCCCCAGGCUUACCUGGGAACUGCAUCCGAUACUGGGAUGGCUUGAAUUCGGGAGAGGGAUGCAGAAUUCCAGGUGUAGCGGUGAAAUGCGUAGAUAUCUGGAGGAAUACCGGUGGCGAAGGCGGCAUCCUGGACCGACAUUGACGCUGAGGAGCGAAAGCUAGGGGAGCAAACGGG
rnacentral:rRNA from 1 species